rnacentral:rRNA from 1 species
AGUGAACGCUGGCGGUAGGCCUAACACAUGCAAGUCGAACGGCAGCACAGUAAGAACUUGCUCUUACGGGUGGCGAGUGGCGGACGGGUGAGGGAUACAUCGGAAUCUACUUUUUCGUGGGGGAUAACGUAGGGAAACUUACGCUAAUACCGCAUACGACCUACGGGUGAAAGCAGGGGAUCUUCGGACCUUGCGCGAUUGAAUGAGCCGAUGUCGGAUUAGCUAGUUGGCGGGGUAAAGGCCCACCAAGGCGACGAUCCGUAGCUGGUCUGAGAGGAUGAUCAGCCACACUGGAACUGAGACACGGUCCAGACUCCUACGGGAGGCAGCAGUGGGGAAUAUUGGACAAUGGGCGCAAGCCUGAUCCAGCCAUACCGCGUGGGUGAAGAAGGCCUUCGGGUUGUAAAGCCCUUUUGUUGGGAAAGAAAAGCAGCAGGUUAAUACCCCGCUGUUCUGACGGUACCCAAAGAAUAAGCACCGGCUAACUUCGUG